GACGAACGCUGGCGGCGUGCUUAACACAUGCAAGUCGAGCGGUAAGGCCCUUUCGGGGGUACGACGAGCGGCGAACGGGUGGAGUAACACGUGGGUGGACCUCGCCCUUACGUCUCUGGGAGUAAGCCUGGGAAACGUAGGGUCGUAAUACCGGAUAUGACUCCAUAACGCAUGUUGUGGGGUGGAAAGCCUUGUGCGGCUAGGGA
rnacentral:rRNA from 1 species